UACAGAGGUCCCAAGCGUUGUUCGGAUUCACUGGGCGUAAAGGGUGCGUAGGCGGUCGGGUAAGUCUGACGUGAAAUCUUCAAGCUCAACUUGGAAACUGCGUCCGAUACUAUUCGGCUAGAGGAAUGGAGGGGAGACUGGAAUACUUGGUGUAGCAGUGAAAUGCGUAGAUAUCAAGUGGAACACCAGUGGCGAAGGCGGUUCUCUGGGCCUUACCUGACGCUGAGGAGCGAAAGCGUGGGGAGCGAACAGG
rnacentral:rRNA from 1 species